UCGACUUUUGCUUUAGUAUUUAAUAAAAUUCUGUUUGUUUCCAGAUGCGAGUUCAGCAACAAACUAUUCAGUGUAAAAGGAAAUCUCACAUUACAUCGCAGAUUCCAUACUGGAGAACGACUUCACAAGUGCUCCGUAUGUGACAAAACUUUCAUACAAUCCAGUCAACUUGUCAUUCACAUGCGCACGCACACUGGAUAGAGACCUUAACGUUUGUACAGUUUGUCAAAAAGGCUUCACGUGUGGUAAACAAUUGAAAGUAUAUUACAAAACACAUACAGGCGAAAAGCCUUUUAGAUGUGAGUUCUGCAACAAACUAUUCAGUGUAAAAGGAAAUCUCACAGUGCAUCGAAGAAUCCAUACGAAGUAACGUCCAUAUAAAUUCAGAAUUUGUUCUAGAGCCUUUUGCCUUAUAUUCAUCAUGAUGCAAAGAAAUAUUCAGUUCGUUAUGAGAUUAAGCCCUGUAAACCGUUUUCAACAUACAUUAAAUAAUGAUAAUAAUAAAAGAGAUGCAUACUAUCGAUUAAACAAAAUACCCUAAUCAAAAUUCCUACAGGUUGUCAAAUCAAUAUGGAAAAUUCCACGUUUAGUAAUACUCCAGAAACAACCGCUGUAAACCCUCUGAUACUUCCAAAAUUAGAUUGGGAAUUCGCUGGAACAGAAAAGUACACAAAACAACCCAUUAAACUAGAAACAAUCAAUCAAGGAUUUGAAACUCCAAGCUGAAUUAACAGAACCAAUACAAAAUCAAACAGUACACCCUGCAAUAUGGAAUAUUCCCGGACUUCUAGCAAUCAUAAUACCAGCCAUAAUAAUCUGGAUAUUUUGGAGACGUUUCAAACUGAAGAAGAUGAAGAAAGCCAGUCAACAACCCCAACAAAAGAACCCCUUUGACGGUGUCGUUUUAACUUAAGGAGGGAGGAGUUAUGUGAAGUUAUUUUGCUCACUUUAUAUAAAAAUAUCUGUGUCAGCUUUUAACGAUAAAAGAACUUUAUAUUAUCAUGAUCAUUCAUUUUUCAUUUUCUUAAUCAUUCUGUUUUUAACUCUGAAACUGUAAACUUGUAUUAAAUGAAGUUUAUUUUUAAAAA